rnacentral:snoRNA from 1 species
GGGCAUCUCUGACAGACCUGGAGCAGUUAAUGUCUGCUGCUAAGGUUUCCACUAUCAAUGCAAAGAAAAGAAGGCCCUCGUGCAUUCUGUCUGUCUGGUUGUGGCAACCGAGGUUGAACCAAGGGGGGAGAGA